rnacentral:rRNA from 1 species
UACAGGGGGUGCAAGCGUUAAUCGGAUUUACUGGGCGUAAAGCGUGCGUAGGCGGUUCAUUAAGUCGGUUGUGAAAUCCCUGGGCUUAACCUGGGAACUGCAGUCGAUACUGGUGGACUAGAGUACGGUAGAGGGUGGCGGAACUCCGGGUGUAGCGGUGAAAUGCGUAGAUAUCCGGAAGAACACCGAUGGCGAAGGCAACCACCUGGGCCUGUACUGACGCUGAGGUACGAAAGCGUGGGGAGCAAACAGG